rnacentral:rRNA from 1 species
AAUCUGGCGUUCAUCGUCCGAGUUGUAAUUUGGAGGGGUAACUUCGGAAACGACGCCGCUCUAGGUUCCUUUGAACAGGACAUCACAGAGGGUGAGAAUCCCGUGCUUGGGCGGAUCGUCGCGACCAUGUGAAGUGCCUCCGACGAGUCGAGUUGUUUGGGAAUGCAGCUCAAAAUGGGUGGUAAAUUUCAUCUAAAGCUAAAUAUUGGCGAGAGACCGAUAGCGCACAAGUAGAGUGAUCGAAAGAUGAAAAGAACUUUGAAAAGAGGGUCAAACAGUACGUGAAAUUGUUGAAAGGGAAGCGCUUGAGAUCGAACUCAGUCGAUGGCACACAGCCGAGCUUCUGCUCGGUGCACUGGUCGUCGACUGGGCCAGCAUCGGUUCUGACGGCGGGAUAAAGGGUCGGGAAACGUGGCUCGCCUCGUGCGAGUGUUAUAGUCCCGCGCCGUAAUACCGCCAGUCCGGGACCGAGGACCGCGC